AUUUCCUGGUACAAGUGCUGCCUUUCGUCGAUGGAAAAGAUGCUACUGAUUUUAGUUUGAUUUUUCGCGAGCUGACUCAUCCACACCCUCUCACCCAGUUCCUUCAAAACACAUGUUUUGGAGGUGCUACUGAGGAGGCAUGUUGGUACCUGGACUUCUGGAAUGUGGCUUUGCAUGGAGACUGGAUUUGCAAAUGGCUGGUUGCGGUGCAUCUGGAACACAGACUCUCCUGGAGCAAAUGUAGUGCCCCAUGGAUUUAGAUGAGAGCUGAGGAGAGGAGCCUACGUGGGAAACAACUCAAGUUGGAAGAUUACUUGGUGAAUAUUGAAGACCUUGGACGAACUGAGCUAGAAAUGCCCCAAAUUCACGUCUGAAGCCAGCUGCCCUGUCUGGUGGUCAUGACCACUAAGCUAAAUUCGUUCCAGAUUCUCCAAACUCCAUUUUUCAAGACCGUGAGCCUCUCUUUGUCAGUUCUGGUUGUAUCAAGAGUUCUGAGUAGGUGCAAACAACGUUGGUUUAACUUGGCUGCGAUUGAGCAAAGAAAGCACCCCAAGAAGGCUGUAGUCUCUUGUGUGAUGUUACAUCAUGAGUAGGGCUAGGCCAGCUCUGUGGGGUGUUUCAUUUGCAGGUUCUCCCACGGCUCCUCUGGGCCCCAACUGUACCGUCUGCCUGUCUUUUGUAGAGGUGUAGGAAGGCUUUAUGCCUGUGGCCACAUAGAACGCAGCCAUGGUGGGGGGAGGUUUGGCUUUGGAGGCAGCUCUGCCAGUGAUCAGCGGAUGAGCAGAGCAGAAAUGAUGGUCAGCUCCACACGGUGUCCUCUGCUCCUGUACCCACAGUCUCAUCAACUCCAUGUCUGUCCCCUGAGGCACUGGUAAGUCCUCUGAUCUAUUAACUUCUUCUAACACAUUAACACUAAUGAGGGUGUGCGAGGACAGAUUCAUUCUGACCUGUGGAGGUAGGUCCCUGCAGGUAUGAAUGGAAAUCUCAGGACCAGAGUUUGCAAACAGUGACCUUUCUCUUGGCUGUUUUGACCUGUUCCCCUUGGAAGGGCUCUGCCAGGCUCUAGCUGUGAAGUUUUUAUCCCUCAGCUUUGGGGAGAGAGUACUCAUUCUCUUUUGGGUCCUUAUCAAGUGUAAAUACUUUAAAUUGCCACCAAAAGCCAUAGCUAGCAAAUCAAUCAAUGGGGCCAAAGAAUUGGGGGAGGGGGAGGGUGCACUGAUGAGAGGGGAGUCCUCAUCUCUCCAGGCAA